rnacentral:rRNA from 1 species
UACGUAGGGUGCGAGCGUUAAUCGGAAUUACUGGGCGUAAAGCGUGCGUAGGCGGUUCGUUAAGUUAGCUGUGAAAGCCCCGGGCUCAACCUGGGAAUUGCGGUUGAAACUGGCGAACUAGAAUCUGGCAGAGGGGGGUGGAAUUCCACGUGUAGCAGGUGAAAUGCGUAGAGAUGUGGAGGAACACCGAUGGCGAAGGCAGCCCCCUGGGCUAGAACGUGACGCUCAUGCACGAAAGCGUGGGGAGCAAACAGG